GAUAUUAUUAUUAUUAUGUUGAUCAUCUUUAUCAUCAUUAUCAUCAUCGUUGGUCAUAAUCGCCAUUUCCAUUGUCAUUAUCACCAUUGUCCAUAUCCGCGUUUAUCAAUUACGUUGUUAUCGAUGUCAUCAAUAUAUUGACACGUCGCUGUUGAGAACGGUCGUCGGCCGUGACGGCGGCCAUGACGUUUCAGUAUCGGGAAACCAACUGAAUCACAUUCGCAUUACAUAGGAGUAAGAAGGAAUUGACGUACCGAGUUGAGAGAACUUGUUUGUGCCUACGACUCUCUUCUUGAAACACGGGGACGCUUUUUAAUACACCGCCGCGUUGUGCGAUGGAUACACGUUGGCGACUCGUCGUGCGAUCGCAUGUGUAACCGUGAAUUAUAAUGAAUUGAACCUACCGCAGAUCUCAUUGUAUUCACAGCCCUGCAGGAUAAGCGAGCAUAGCGUGUUCCCGAAUUUGUUGUAAUCGUGAUUUCGAUUGUCACGAAAUCCGAUUAUAAUCUUCUUGAAAGGCAUGAAACUGAAAAGGAAUAAGAAAACGACGAUCGCACGUAUACUGGCCCGCAGGGAAUGAGAGAGACGUUGAAUAUAUCUGUAAAUAAAUGCUCUCAUUUUGCCCUCGCUGAGUCCACAAAUUAUAAAUCAUGCGCGUCAUGAAUCGUGAGAACAUAUAGUACUAUGUAUAAAGUGAAAGUUCGCGCUCUCCUGAUUUUAUUAAAUACUUUUUUUUAUUUCGAUUUUUCUUUUAAUCCACCGUCCAAUACGUGAUACAGAAUGAUUCUAAUGCAUUGAAAUAUUUAUAUUAGGAUAUAUGUAGUAUAUACGAGCCUUCCGUAUAGUAAACAAUUUUUAUAUAACUUUCAUUUUGAGUUAUAUAUUGUAGAUGUGAAAGAACAGCAUUAGCAUCAGCGUUAUUAAUAAGCGCUAUCGAGAUAAUACUGAAUCGUAUCCAUAUAAAAGUCCAUACUAAAAUCGAAACUCCCAAUGCGUUAAUUGUCGAAAUAAUUUCUUUGAUAUGUGUACACUGCCUAUUUUUUCUACACGGGAAUCGUGAAUGCACGAUAGUUCUAUCAUCACUACAUCGUUAUUAAUAUACAUUAAGGAAUGUUUUGCUACGAGUUUCUCGAAACGCAAAAUGUUUUUUUUGAAUAAUAUUUCUCUAUACGAUCAUCAUAUCGUUCGCGUAUUAUUUAUGAUAAUUUCCUAUUCGCCCACGUACACCUGUAAUUUUUAAAUAACGGUAAUGUAAAUCGCGACAGAAAUUUGCACAGCUUCCGUGCUACAUUUUCCAAAGCAAUAUCAUAGGAUUCGGUUUCAUGCCUUCCAAAAUGAAAUUAUCAUGUGAGAAAGUAAUCUAUCGCGAUGAACAGUUGAAAUAAUUUACAUUUUACAUAACAUAUCGAUGAAGUAAGAUUUUUUCUGUCUGUAGAUUCUAUAGCGUAUAUAAUGAAAAUUUAGUAACGCGUAAAUGCGAGGAAAUUAUGUGACAUAGCCGAAAUUAUAUGACAUUGCAGUCAAAUUCGUGUUCCAUCACCAGUGUGUAUCGAUUAAAAAAAAAAGGGAAAAGAAAGAAAAAAAAACGAUAAAAGAAACAGAAAAGAAAAGCGUUUCUUUCGAUACGAAUUAUCUCCUCUGCGAAAAGAGUGCGACGUUCAUGGACAGCUCUUGUUUCUUGAUCCAUGCGCGUUUUCGAUUAUUAAAAAGAACAUUAACGAACAAAUGAGAGAAAGGAAAGAAUCAACGGUGUGUCCACGCCUGAUUCUAUUUCGAUGUUCUUGAUAUAAAAAUUUACAUCAUCGCAAUCAAUAAUAAAAACUAGAAUCGAGCAUACGUGAUUUUCGAGACAGAUUGAUCUAAAUAUGAAACGAAAAAGAUGAAUCAUCAAGUACGAUGUACAUGCAAUAACGUAAAAAUUCAUUUUAUAAUGAACUCUCUCUGCUGCAAACAUAUUUAAUCCACUAUUUUUCAUGAUGGAGAGCCUUACCGUCGCGAGGCAUUUCUAGGGAUUAACACGAAGUGACACGUGCGAUUUUCUGCUAAUGGCUCGCGACGAAACGUUUAAGACCAAGAGACAAAUCAGAAAAUAUGUACGAAAAUCUGGGGAACACAGAGAGCAAGGAUCUCGUCAGUCAUAUUGAUUAAACAAGAACACGGUAAACGGUAGAGAUCGAAUGAAGAGUAGAGGCACGGAGGUGGCGAGUAUGAAGAAACGUGUGUUACGUCCAAUGGUCCACACCUACACGCUAGUCUGACCGAUGACUUCGUAUCGUUCGUACCCAAGAUGUAUAUGCGCAUACGUACUAUGUAACACGCCUGUACACCACGUUGUAUCCACAUUGAAUACCUUAAGUACUUCUCGGCAAGCGCGUCCGACAACAGGAAACCCAUGUACUUACGGAACUAUCGCAUACUUGUACCAUAGUGUAUACUCGACGCCAUGCGUAUUCUCGUACGAUAAAAGGCAAACGAGAAACGGAAGAGAGGGAGAGAAUCACUCCGUCAAACAUCUUGAAAAGUAAUACGCUUAAAAACAUGGAGAUAUAAUAAGCUUACUCUAUGAAUUUCAUCUUUCUCUCUCUCUCCCUCUCUUUUUCUCCCUUUCACUUUUAACUGUAUCUUCCUACUGUCGACACACCGCGAGAGCAUCGUUCCUUUCUUUUAUAAGCUUGAAACGCAAUUGGCGAGCGACCGUCGAAACAAUCAGUCGUUCUACAUUUAUAUCAGCGGACGCAGAAAGUGAAUGAGUGAUCCGAUGAAUGCCUGACGCUGGAUGAUAUCCGCGUGCGUGGAAAGAGAACGAAUCGUUGAGAAGAGACGUUACAUCCGGGACGUUUUCUCCCGGCGCGGCUUCGCGUGAGUCGUAUCCGCCGUAUUCCCAUACUUGUACAUAAGACGUUAGACCGCAAUUAUUGCGUACGCGGAUCACGUGUGCUUACGCGAAUCGCGUCCUUGCGAAUAAAAUUUGUUCGCGCGAUAAAUCCAAUAGCGAGCGGCAUAUACGAUUGUAAGUUUCAGUCAGAUGAUUUCUGAUCAGAUGAGGAGAGCACGUGCGUGCGCGAAAGGUCCAUGUAGACGCAACAUAGAGGAAAAAGAAAGAGAAAGUCUCCGAUAUUUAUGUCACUGUCCUGCCACCGGGAAUCCGUGUUGGCGUAAUUAUAAUAAAUCCCGCUGUGCAACCACGUUGCGUAAGGAUGUUUAGUCUGUAGUUUUCUAGCCGAUUUUUCAAAGCGCACGCGCGCGCAAAGUCACGAUUUUUAAUAUAACACGACUGACUGCUGGUUAAGUAUGGUUGUGAGCAAACCUGGUCUCCUUGGAUAUGUAGAGAGACACACACACACACACACACACGCGCGCGCGCGCGCAUAUACAUACAUACAAUUUACACACGACAUAAUACACAAAACUUAAACAUUUUUCCAGUUCCCCUAGAUACGUAUCUUGCACGGAGAGCGAUUGUUGCAUACGUGGAAAUUCAGGCUUGUAAUCCAAAAUGAGAGAGAGAGAGAGACCCUCUCCGCUCAAGAGAUAUUUUUCUUUUUCUUUUUUUUUGUAUAUUUGUAAAUUGGUACGAGUAGAGAGAUUGGGGCCAGGAUCGAUAUAUCCUCGGUGUUUUUCAUUCCAUGGCUCAUUGGUCGAAGAGCAGCAUAUACAGCGAUAAAUGUGAUCGUGCGUAUCUGUGGAAAAAAAAUGAGGCUGCGUAAUUAAUUAUCUUGUUACGUAAAGCGUAAUUUCGAGAGAAAGAGAGAUUGGAUGAUCGUGCGUUUCCCCUCGUGUGUUGUGAUUGUUUAAUUGCAUUAAUACGUCGAUUCGACGAUGUUGGAGAGACGUGAUGGGAGAUUCCUGAGAUUAAUUUAAUCAGCACUAUAGUUUCUUCAUAGUGAGGCUUGUGUAUACAUUUUUUGACUUACUAUAUGUUCGUACUGUUUUAAUGGACGAAUUGUUGAACAAUAAAAUCGCUGAUUGCUACAAUAAAAAGAAAUCGCCGUUUUUAUGAGAUCGGCAGCUCACGCGUGUGGGUGUGCGAACACAUGUCCGUGUUCGAUAUUUUGUUACAACGCGAGAUUUAUGAGACGCAAUUGACAUUUAUAAUUAUACAGAGAAACGAUUGUGCGUGUGGAUUUGCGUCGUUUCUGCAGACACAGGGAGAAAAAAAUUAAGGAAGAUAGAUAAAUUAAACGUAACGUGUAAAGCGUGCGUUUAUUUCGAUCUAUUUACAUAGUAAUACAUCGUAGUAAAAAUGCAAUUUUUUAUUACGAUACUAUGCGAAACUAGACAGAGCAUCCUUAUAAUUUUCUUUUUAUUACAUAAUUGACAUAGUGUGUCAUUGAGAACAAAUGUGUUCUUUACAAGAAAGUUAACGAGAACGAAACGACGAUAUUUGUAUAGGUGCGGAUUUGUUGAAAUACUUUACACAAUGUCUGUAAAAUUGCGUUACUCCGCGAUUUUUCAUCGAACAGUGUAAAAAAUUGAUCUGUAUUCUGGAUCCUUCAAUAUCAUGUUCUUUAACGAAAUUCAACGCCACUCCCUUCAAGUGGAUUCGUUUUCUUUCCACUCGCCUUUCGAACUGAUAUAUUUGAAACCGAGCAAACUUGUAUAUAGCGAUUAAAUUGUUUUAGUACUAUCAUAGUGAGAAUUAUGUGUUUACACACGCCCAUAUAUAUGUGCAUAUGGGUGUGUGAUUGUGGAAGUGAGGAGAGUGGUUUACAUAAAAAAAAUAGACAUUGUAUAACGAGACUGAAUGAUAUAUUAUAUACGUCGGACCAUGAAAAAAGAAACCGAUUGUCUUACAUUUGCAUUUUAAUAUGCAGUGAUUAUUAUUAUUAUUAUUAUUAUUAUUAUUAUUAUUAUUAUUAUUAUAUAAUAAUAUAACGCGAAUUAUAAUUAUACGCGAAAAAACGAAAGUCUCUCAAUUGUAUCGAUUCUAACGAAAUGGAUAUGUAUAUCUCUCUCCCCUUGUAGCAAAGAUUUUACUAUAUAUACGUAAGCUGUGAUUGCUAUCAUAUAAUUUUUAACUUAUAUUACAAUACUGAUUUGCUUUGUUUAAUGAUUAUACGAAACCGUCUGGCAAGGCGCUUUAAUAGAAGAACUAAACAAACAAACAAAAAAACAAAAAAAUGAGGGAAAAGAAAUAAGAAAAA